GAUAUGCACACUAUGGGCCGUAACUCUUACGCAAUUUUACGCCAUAAGUUGGAUCCUGAUAAGCAAGAACCUUCUCAAGCAAGGGUCUAUAAGGAGUCAAGAAAAAGAACGGUGGGAAGGAAAUACCUUACCAACCAUGAAAAAAUAGAAGAGAAUAUUGCUAAAAUGGAUGCUUU